rnacentral:rRNA from 1 species
GCAGGCGCGUAAAUUACCCACUCCCAGUUCGGGGAGGUAGUGACGAAAAAUAACAAUACAGGACUCAUAUCCGAGGCCCUGUAAUUGGAAUGAGUACACUUUAAAUCCUUUAACAAGGACCUAUUGGAGGGCAAGUCUAGUGCCAGCAGCCGCGGUAAUUCUAGCUCCAAUAGCGUAUAUUAAAGUUGUUGCGGUUAAAACGUUCGUAGUUGAAUUUGUGCUUCAUGCAGGUAGUACAUCUAUAAUCGUAGUUUGUACAUUACCUUAUGCAUGCAAGCGUAUUAUCGGUGGAGUUCUAAUAUAUAAUAGUAAAUAUUAUUAUUAUAUAUACCUCCUAUUGAAACCUACUUCAGUGCUCUU